UGGGGAAUUUUGGACAAUGGGCGCAAGCCUGAUCCAGCCAUGCCGCGUGCAGGAUGAAGGCCUUCGGGUUGUAAACUGCUUUUGUCAGGGAAGAAACGAGUUUCUCUAAUACAGAGACUUAAUGACGGUACCGUAAGAAUAAGCACCGGCUAACUACGUGCCAGCAGCCGCGGUAAUACGUAGGGUGCGAGCGUUAAUCGGAAUUGCUGGGCGUAAAGCGUGCGCAGGCGGUUAUAUAAGACAGAUGUGAAAUCCCCGGGCUCAACCUGGGACCUGCAUUUGUGACUGUAUAGCUAGAGUACGGUAGAGGGGGAUGGAAUUCCGCGUGUAGCAGUGAAAUGCGUAGAUAUGCGGAGGAACACCGAUGGCGAAGGCAAUCCCCUGGGCCUGUACUGACGCUCAUGCACGAAAGCGUGGGGAGCAAACA
rnacentral:rRNA from 1 species